CAGCAUGUAGAACACGCUGGACAGAGCCAAAAUGGGGAGGAACAUGUUGAAGAUUCCAAAACCCUUAAUUUCAUUCAAAUCUACAUAACUUUUCGCUUCGAGCUCCGAUUGACGAUCCGUUUGCGGCUACGCGACCGCGGCGUCGAGCUCUACAAAGCCCAUAACAUUGUAAGGUUUAAUUUAGCUUGCGGAGCUUAUUGAGCUUGAGUUGUUAUACGUGUGGACACGGUGUGAAUUAAGUAGAUACUUGUGCAUUGAAAUUAAAUUGGGAGCAUAUGGAAGCUUGUUGGUGAUUGGAGCCAAGAUUUGGGUUGGUUUCUCAAGCUUGUGAGGGGCUGUGAUUGUGUUUGUGUGGCUGCCUUGGUCUAAGCGCGGUGAUCGGCCAAUGUAUGAUUUAGGUUUCGCGCGUUUAACAUUUAAGGUGUUGUGAAAACAUAGGCUAGAAAGCCAUAGGUUAAGUUGAAAAGGUUAAAAUAUAUUAAAUGGUUGGCUUGUGAUGAUGUUGGUAUAUAUUAAUGGAUUAUGGUUGGUGUUGUUAAUCAGGAUGUAGAGUUGUGUUGUGGUGGUAUUGCAUAUGCUGUAACUAAUUCUGUGAUGAUCGGAAUUGCGUGGAGCUAAGUCCUUGUUAAAUUUUAAAAUAUUUGGAACUGAACUGGAGAA